AAGAAAAUAAUCACUUUGCAACACUUCACUUGCGACAGUUCGGCCACAACCGUUGCAAUGUAUAUUUUUUCCAGAUUUUGCAACGGUUGAUGCGACAGUUUAGGGAACCAUCGCAGCUUUUACAUCUAAAAUUGGGAACUAGCUUACUCAUCACCACCCACUCUCACUCUUUACUCUUUGUCAUGAAAAAAAUUCCUCUAAACCCUAAUCGCUCCAAUCACUCUCUAGAUUCAAAUCAACGAACCUUGUUCCCCAAAUUUCUCAAACGACGAAGCUUCCUUUCCACUAUUCCAAAUCCCUAAAUCUCCAUCGCUCCAUCGUUCUUUCUCCUGCGAGAUUCAUUGUUCCCUUGUUCGUUCUCUCGUUCUGUCUCCAACGAUGAAGCUUCUCUUUCACUACUCAGAUAUGGCGUCCCUGUAAGUGCCACACCACCACCGCCGGAACUUUCCCUCACUGCCACUCGCUCCUCGCCUCACGUAGUCGACUACCAUCACUGAGUUUGUCACUGCAUUUCUGGUUGUUUUGCAGUUCUGUUUUUGAAGUCUGAACACAAAUUGGGGAAGAGAUUCCACUUCGAGAACUCUAAGACAAAGCUAUUCAUGAAUCCCUUUACCCAGCAAGGUGAGUGGGCGAGUAAUCCACCAAUUUUCUGCCAUCUUUGAGUGUUUCUUAACAUUUGCAUUUGUCAAUUUACAUAUUGCUUUAGCCGCAGAUCUGGUGUUUUUGUGAGUGAACUCCUCUUCAGUAGCAGUUGCCUCACUGAUUCUCAUUAGAUGAUACGUGAAUCACAAAACACAUCUUUAUACAGUGUUCAAUUGCUCUCCUCAUCUGUCUGAAUAUCACUUUAAUCUUUGAGUUUACUUGCUCUCCUUUUCUUUUUAUAGUGUUCAACUGUACAAAAUUAUUUGUUGAGUAGGAAAGGAUUGAUGUUUAGGGCAUUGAAUGUGAAUUAGGGUUUACGAGACAUUCACUUGUUUCAAAUAGUCAUGACAGUGAAAUUGAUACAUUUUGAUAACUAAGGGUUGUAGAGUAGUGAGGACUUGAUCUCUCUCUUUGUAUUAGAAUUUUAUGGACUUAAUGUAGCAUAUUUUAGAAACAUCUAUGUUGAACCAUCAUGACUAUUUUGUGUUUAAAAUCAUAUAAGUUCAGGUUGUGCUACUGUGGUUAGUGAAAAUUUGCUUUGAAAGAUCAAAUAUCUAGCUUGUGUACUCGUGUGUUAAUCCUUUUUGAGUUUUCAUUUAACCACAGUUGAGUUUUGUGUUUGGAAUCUCUCAAGCUCAACAUGGUAAACUCUUGUGGACCUUUUUCUCUUAACUUGUUACUAUUUUGAAGCUUAAAAAUACCACUCAUGUGUUGUUAAUAACGUAUGAGUUUCCUUAAGGGUGUAUUUACAUAGUCUUUAUUCUUAAUCAUUGGAACUCAUAUGACAAUUGUGUUUCAUUGUUGCUUCUUUGAACAUAAUGUUUGCAAUUCAAUGUGAUAUGUGUUUGAAAUAUCAUGAGAAGGCUCUGAAUGUUCAAAAAUCAUUUUUCCAAUUAUGCAUUCAAUUAUACAUUGAAUCUUUUUGAGGCACUGUGAGAUGUGAGGCAAGUAAUAUUGGAUGCUAUAAAUUUUUCUCAUUCCUCAUUUUGAAUUCAGUGUCGUUAUGCCACCAUUGCCUAAUAAGUGUGAUUGUGAUUUUAUUUUUGACACAGGUCUUAUAAUAUCAUUUACUAUUGUUUUACAGAUAGAUACUAACUAGGUGUUGAUUAUGAUGGGAAAAUGAAUCAUGUUGGCUUUGGCUUGUACAAUCAAAUUGCAGGACUCAUCAUAGAAAAGUUUGUUGUGGAGGGCUAAAUGAAGUCACUUGCAAAUGCUGAAUAAACUCUUAGACCCGUGAGACGAUGGAAUCAAGCGCUUCAUACAAGCUUAAUCUGGAUAUUCCAUUUCACUUUUUGGCAACAAACAUAGAAUCCCCAAGAGAUGUUAGGCAUUCCUUCUUAAGUGAGUCUAGCUAGCACUAAUUAAGGAUCAUGAAGCAACAUCAAAUACUUCGGAAUAUUUAGAUAUUUCAUGAACCUAUUAUUUUGACAUAAUGUUUUGUAUGUUUAGCCACUCUACUAAUGUUUAUGUUUUAGUUUUUGAAUGUUUGAACUACAUUAAUUUUUUCUUUGGAGUUUCAAGUACUUAGAUUAAAUUUUUGAUGUAUGGAUAUUGUCACUAUUGAAUGAAUUAUAUGAAUGAGAUUAAGUUAUUUAUAUA